rnacentral:tRNA from 1 species
GGGCUUGUAGUUCAGGGGUUAGAACACAUCGCUUAUAACGGUGUUGUCGCAGGUUCAAAUCCUGCCAAGCCUA